GGACCCGCACAAGCGGUGGAUGAUGUGGAUUAAUUCGAUGCAACGCGAAAAACCUUACCUACCCUUGACAUGUGCAGAACUUUAUAGAGAUAUAUUGGUGCCCGAAAGGGAGCUGCAACACAGGUGCUGCAUGGCUGUCGUCAGCUCGUGUCGUGAGAUGUUGGGUUAAGUCCCGCAACGAGCGCAACCCUUGCCACUAGUUGCUACAUUUAGUUGGGCACUCUAGUGGGACUGCCGGUGACAAACCGGAGGAAGGUGGGGAUGACGUCAAGUCCUCAUGGCCCUUAUGGGUAGGGCUUCACACGUCAUACAAUGGCGCGUACAGAGGGUUGCAAACCCGCAAGGGGGAGCUAAUCCCACAAAGCGCGUCGUAGUCCGGAUUGUUCUCUGCAACUCGAGAACAUGAAGUCGGAAUCGCUAGUAAUCGCGGAU
rnacentral:rRNA from 1 species